rnacentral:rRNA from 1 species
UACGUAGGGGGCAAGCGUUGUCCGGAAUCAUUGGGCGUAAAGAGCGUGUAGGCGGCUUGGUAAGUCCGCUGUGAAAGUCCAGGGCUCAACCCUGGAAUGCCGGUGGAAACUGUCAAGCUUGAGUCCGGAAGAGGCGAGUGGAAUUCCUGGUGUAGCGGUGAAAUGCGCAGAUAUCAGGAGGAACACCAAUGGCGGAAGGCAGCUCGCUGGGACGGUACUGACGCUGAGGAGCGAAAGCAUGGGGAGCGAACAGG